rnacentral:rRNA from 1 species
CAGGAGCGUAGCAAUACGCUUGCUGGCGACCGGCAAACGGGUGCGGAACACGUACACAACCUUCCUUUAAGUGGGGGAUAGCCCGGGGAAACCCGGAUUAAUACCCCAUAAAAUAAUGAAGUGGCAUCACUUUAUUAUUAAAGCUCCGGCGCUUAAUGAUGGGUGUGCGGCUGAUUAGGCAGUUGGCGGGGUAACGGCCCACCAAACCUACGAUCAGUAACUGGUGUGAGAGCACGACCAGUCACACGGGCACUGAGACACGGGCCCGACUCCUACGGGAGGCAGCAGUAAGGAAUAUUGGUCAAUGGACGCAAGUCUGAACCAGCCAUGCCGCGUGGAGGAUGAAGGUCCUCUGGAUUGUAAACUUCUUUUAUUUGGGAAGAAAUCCAUCCAUUCCUGGAUGGUUGACGGUACCAGAUGAAUAAGCACCGGCUAACUCCGUGCCAGCAGCCGCGGUAAUACGGAGGGUGCAAGCGUUAUCCGGAAUUCACUGGGUUUAANGGGUGCGUAGGUGGAUUAGUAAGUCAGUGGUGAAAUCUCUGGGCUUAACUCAAAAAACUGGCCAUUGAUACUAUUAGUCUUGAAUACCGUGGAGGUCAGCGGAAUAUGUCAUGUAGCGGUGAAAUGCUUAAAUAUGACAUAGAACACCAUUUGCGAAGGCAGCUGGCUACACAAUAUUGACACUGAGGCCCGAAGCGUGGGGAUCAAACAGGAUUAAAUACCCUGGUAA